rnacentral:rRNA from 1 species
UACAGAGGUCUCAAGCGUUGUUCGGAUUCAUUGGGCGUAAAGGGUGCGUAGGUGGCGCUGUAAGUCGGGUGUGAAAUUUCGGAGCUCAACUCCGAAACUGCAUUCGAUACUGCGGUGCUUGAGGACUGGAGAGGAGACUGGAAUUCAUGGUGUAGCAGUGAAAUGCGUAGAUAUCGAGAGGAACACCAGUGGCGAAGGCGAGUCCCUGGACAACACCUGACACUGAGGCACGAAAGCUAGGGGAGCAAACAGG